rnacentral:rRNA from 1 species
AGUUCCUUCGGGAGCGAUUAAAGUGGCGCACGGGUGAGUAACGCGUAGACAAUCUGCCCUUCAGUCUGGGACAACUUUUCGAAAGGAGAGCUAAUACCGGAUAACAAUGUUUAACAUAAGUUAAGUAUUUGAAAGCUUUAUGUGCUGAAGGAGGGGUCUGCGUCCCAUUAGCUAGUUGGUAAGGUAAAGGCUUACCAAGGCAACGAUGGGUAGCGGGUUUGAGAGGACGAUCCGCCACACUGGAACUGAGACACGGUCCAGACUCCUACGGGAGGCAGCAGUGGGGAAUAUUGCACAAUGGAGGAAACUCUGAUGCAGCAAUGUCGCGUGAGUGAAGAAGGCCCUUGGGUCGUAAAGCUCUUUUAUGGGGGAAGAUGAUGACGGUACCCCAAGAAUAAGCACCGGCUAACUAUGUGCCAGCAGCCGCGGUAAUACAUAGGGUGCGAGCGUUGUUCGGAAUUACUGGGCGUAAAGGGCGCGCAGGCGGAAUAGUAAGUCGGAGGUGAAAGCCCGGGGCUCAACCCCGGAGGGUCUUUCGAAACUGCUAAUCUAGAGAGGGUCAGGGGCCGGCAGAAUUCCUGGUGUAGAGGUGAAAUUCGUAGAUAUCAG